rnacentral:rRNA from 1 species
UGGGGAAUCUUGCACAAUGGGGGAAACCCUGAUGCAGCGACGCCGCGUGAGCGAUGAAGCCCUUCGGGGUGUAAAGCUCUUUCGGCAGGGAAGAUGAUGACGGUACCUGCAGAAGCAGCUGCGGCUAACUACGUGCCAGCAGCCGCGGUAAUACGUAGGCAGCAAGCGUUGUUCGGAGUUACUGGGCGUAAAGGGUGUGUAGGCGGUCCCUUAAGUUUGUUGUGAAAUCUCCCGGCUCAACUGGGAGGGUGCGGCGAAUACUGAGGGGCUAGAGUGCGGGAGAGGAAAGUGGAAUUCCUGGUGUAGCGGUGAAAUGCGUAGAUAUCAGGAGGAACACCGGUGGUGUAAACGGCUUUCUGGACCGUAACUGACGCUGAGACACGAAAGCGUGGGUAGCAAACAGGAUUAGAUACCCUGGUAGUCCACGCCCUAAACGAUGCAUAUUUGGUGUGGGUCAUUCAGUUGAUCCGUGCCGGAGCUAACGCGUUAAAUAUGCCGCCUGGGGAGUACAGUCGCAAGGCUGA